rnacentral:misc_RNA from 1 species
UUCUAGCCCUGAUAGCAGCGGUUACCCCGCAACAAGCGUUGAGGUCUUCGGCUAAGCUGAGGGUGACAGCCAGGCGUGAGAAGUAUGAGCGGAUAGCAGGAUAAAGC